GACGAACGCUGGCGGCGUGCUUAACACAUGCAAGUCGAACGGAAAGGCCCUGCUUUUGUGGGGUGCUCGAGUGGCGAACGGGUGAGUAACACGUGAGUAACCUGCCCUUGACUUUGGGAUAACUUCAGGAAACUGGGGCUAAUACCGGAUAGGAGCUCCCGCUGCAUGGUGGGGGUUGGAAAGUUUCGGCGGUUGGGGAUGGGCUCGCGGCUUAUCAGCUUGUUGGUGGGGUAGUGGCUUACCAAGGCUUUGACGGGUAGCCGGCCUGAGAGGGUGACCGGCCACAUUGGGACUGAGAUACGGCCCAGACUCCUACGGGAGGCAGCAGUGGGGAAUAUUGCACAAUGGGCGGAAGCCUGAUGCAGCAACGCCGCGUGCGGGAUGACGGCCUUCGGGUUGUAAACCGCUUUCGCCUGUGACGAAGCGUGAGUGACGGUAAUGGGUAAAGAAGCACCGGCUAACUACGUG
rnacentral:rRNA from 1 species